UACGUAGGUGGCAAGCGUUGUCCGGAUUUACUGGGCGUAAAGGGCGUGCAGGCGGUCUGUUAAGUGCAGGGUGAAAGCUCCCGGCUCAACUGGGAGAGGUCCUUGCAUACUGGCGGACUUGAGGGGGGUAGAGGAAAGUGGAAUUCCCGGUGUAGUGGUGAUAUGCGUAGAUAUCGGGAGGAACACCUGUGGCGAAGGCGGCUUUCUGGGCCAGACCUGACGCUGAGACGCGAAAGCGUGGGGAGCGAACCGG
rnacentral:rRNA from 1 species